AUUGAGACUAACAGUGUCUGCACGAUCUGCGGGAGGGAGGAGGAAGAUGAGUUCCAUGUUUUCAUCAAGUGCACCAAAGCACGAGCGAUCAGAGAGGAAAUGCGAAAGCAUUGGAAUCUGCCGGCGGAGGAUCAGUUUCGUUUUACUGGAAACGAUUGGCUUCAGAACCUGCUGGGCAAACACAUUGUCGAUAUACGUAGCAAAACCAUGCUCCUGUUAUGGAGGGCCUGGUGGCUCCGUGAUGAUUGCAUCCAUGGGGAGGGCAAAGCAACGUUAGGAUAA
rnacentral:rRNA from 1 species